GCAAACUUGGUCAUUUAGAGGAAGUAAAAGUCGUAACAAGGUUUCCGUAGGUGAACCUGCGGAAGGAUCAUUAACAAUUGUCCACCAUCAUGGAUAAAUUUUAUCCAUAUCCACCUUGUGUGAAUCAUUGAAAAUGUUUGUUGGCAGGCUAGGAUUGUUUUCCGUUGGUGAAAACUCCGUGGGUUUUUGUUGGCUCGGCCUGCCAAUUUUACUACGUUUAAACAUGUCUAAAAAUAACUACUGGUCUGAAAUUGUAUAUUUAUAUAAUAAAUACAACUUUCAACAACGGAUCUCUUGGCUCUCGCAUCGAUGAAGAACGCAGC
rnacentral:misc_RNA from 1 species